CCCUGUUUUUUCCGGUAUCUUCCUCACCCCGCAUCGCACGCCGCUUCCUGAAUCCCGAUCCGUGUCGCCUCCACACCCUUCGCCGCUGCCCUCUUCCUCGCAGGGCCAGGGAACGGCCCGUCGCCGCUGCCCUUCCGCCACCCUCCCCACCCGCCGCCAAGCGCCCCAAGAUAUUCUUCUCCUCGGACUCGGAGGCCGACGCCGAGCCUACCUCGCCCUCCGCCGCCGGCGCGGGCGCCGACCCCGGGCAGCGCCGCCCCAGGUACAAGCGCCGCAAGGUCGCCAUCCUCCCCAGGGCGGCGCCUCCGUCACUCGAUCUCCGCCUCCUCUCUCGCUCCAUCCCCCACUGGUGACGCCCCAUCCCCCGCCGGAACUCGAUCGCCAACCAUCCCACCGAUGGUGCAUGGGCUGUAGGAAUGGGGAUCCGUGCGAACCAUCUUCUCUGGCAACAAACCGGCGACGGCUGCAUCUGUUCCGGCGGCGGCAUCUGGACGUCUCUGCCUGCAAGUUUGCCAACACGGUGCCCGUGCAAGCCUUCAGGUAAUCACUUCCAUGAUUUUUGUCCAUUCAAUUCGACCAAUCCAAUUUGAUCGAAUUCGUAUCAAUCGUCGUAGGAUUGAAUGGCCACGGGAUUAGUUUUUUCCUUUCCAAUCAUCAUAUCACGAGAUGGCAUGAGCCAUCAUGUCAAUUUUGUGGCCGGCCGGGAGCCCAAUGGUUUCUGUGCUUUGGUGCCUGCUCCUGCAACUCUUUUCUAGGAUAAUAAAAAAUUCUACUUUCACUUGACACACACUUGAUUUAUUUUUGGUCGAUUCUGCAAUGAAACAAUGCCGGAUUCUUCCACGAAACGGUGCUGCAAAGGUUUGGUGUUUUAAUGAUAUAUUGUCUAGCCUAUUGCCUCCUGUGUGAUGCCAUGGACCAUGUUGUGAUUGGGGGUAGAAUUCAUGGUUGGGUUAGCUGAACUCUAGUAGCUUCGACCAUGGGAUAGCUGAAAUCAGUGCUAAAUGUUGGAUCUGAAAUUAGGUUUACUCUGCUUUGGAAAGUUUGGAUGUUUGGGUGCGAAAUUGUCAAUUUAGUGCACACAUUGUUAAUACGUUUUGAGUAAUCUUGCAAGAGGUAAAAAAAAAGAAAGUUCUGUUAAUACUAUGAAACUGUUGGAUGCAUGUAUUCAUUCAACUUCUCUCUCAGGUUGUAAUUUGUGGAGCUGUUGUAGUUCUGGAUAGCAAUGUUGGAUGGAUCAUCACGUGGAACAGAACAGGCUAGGCUGCUGCUGUCAAUUUAGUAUACUUUAUUUUAUGUUUCCUUCAAAGGCUUGUAGAUUUUUUUCUUUUAUUAGGAACAGUUUUUUUUUUCAGAAACCUAGCCUCAAGCUCUCAGGUUGAGCAGUUAUGUCUUUGCCUGAAAAGUAAAAGCAUAGAUAUAUUAUUGUACACAACCUACUUGGAACCUGUUACCUGUCGGGCAAUGAGAAAACUACAGUGUUCAUAUCGAUUGCAUCAUUUUAUAGAAAACUAUGGAUUGUAACAUAACUACAGAAGUAUGACAGCUUCAGGCCCUAUUGAAAUUUUUUAGUUCAUCUCAAAUGUGAGCAUGCAAAUAUGCAAUCCUCAGCGUGGUGUUCUGCAUUACUUGAUGGAGUUCUUCUUUGAUUAUGUGCUAGCAACUAUCGUCUGAAACAAGCUGCUAUGUAUUGUAACCUAAAUGCAUCUUAAAAGGCCAGCAAUAAUGUCCUUUGUCUUGUGAUCUACAAAUACCUCUUUGCAUAUGUGGGCCUUAUAUUUGAAAAUGAUUUUACACAUGGCUUUUUUUCAUAGAUAUGUGUACAUAUGAAUUCUUGAGAUAAUUAAACCUAACUUGUCUGCCUUGUACUCUUGACAUGUCCUCUGCUGCUGAGCCUGUGAAACCGUUGCCUGCUGGCGAAGUUCCAUCUGCAUAGAAGAGUCAAGUUCCUCUGAUAAACCUGGCUGGACAUUUGGUGUGCAGUAAGUUACAGGCAGAGACGAAAGAGGGGCCAGACCAAGUGUAGAACUGGAAUAGUAUAUGGCUUUCUAGGAAGACUCACGGGAACUGCUUACAGGAAAGAAGUAGAAUAGCAAGCGAGUAAUAUGCUACUUCAUUUUAAGAAGAUGCGUGCUCAGAGAAAGUCAGUUCACCUAUUGUCAACUAAAGGAAGCAUUGGCAUGGAAUGGAACGGAGGGGAGUUAAGGAUUACACGAUCCUUCAUACUUUGGGGCUCUUUUGGUUCUUGAUGGAGGGUUACUUUUGGUAACUAGCAACUUAAACAGAACCUUUUGGUUCCACAACAUUGUUCACCACUCAACUGGAUGUACGUGACAAAUGGUAGGUCUUGUACACAUGACAUAUGUCUAUUGAAAUAUAAUAAUGAACAAUUGGGACACGUUCAUGGAUGUGUAUUGGAAUGAGAUUUGGAUUUAUAUGUGCAUGACAAGUUAAUA